rnacentral:rRNA from 1 species
GUACACUCCUGCGGGAGGCAGCAGUGAGGAAUAUUGGACAAUGGGUGGAAGCCUGAUCCAGCCAUCCCGCGUGCAGGAAGACGGCCCUAUGGGUUGUAAACUGCUUUUAUCUGGGGAUAAACCUACUUACGUGUAAGUAGCUGAAGGUACCAGAAGAAUAAGCACCGGCUAACUCCGUGCCAGCAGCCGCGGUAAUACGGAGGGUGCAAGCGUUAUCCGGAUUUAUUGGGUUUAAAGGGUCCGUAGGCGGACUGAUAAGUCAGUGGUGAAAUCCGACAGCUUAACUGUCGAACUGCCAUUGAUACUGUUAGUCUUGAGUAAGGUUGAAGUGGCUGGAAUAAGUAGUGUAGCGGUGAAAUGCAUAGAUAUUACUUAGAACACCAAUUGCGAAGGCAGGUCACUAAGUCUUAACUGACGCUGAUGGACGAAAGCGUGGGGAGCGAACAGGAUUAGAAACCCUUGUAGUCCCAU